GACGAACGCUGGCGGCGUGCUUAACACAUGCAAGUCGAACGAAGAGCGAUGGAAGCUUGCUUCUAUCAAUCUUAGUGGCGAACGGGUGAGUAACGCGUAAUCAACCUGCCCUUCAGAGGGGGACAACAGUUGGAAACGACUGCUAAUACCGCAUCCGAUCUAAUCUCGGCAUCGAGGAUAGAUGAAAGGUGGCCUCUACAUGUAAGCUAUCACUGAAGGAGGGGAUUGCGUCUGAUUAGCUAGUUGGAGGGGUAACGGCCCACCAAGGCGAUGAUCAGUAGGCGGGCUGAGAGGAUGAACGGCCACAUUGGGACUGAGACACGGCCCAGACUUCUACGGGAGGCAGCAGUGGGGAAUCUUCCGAAAUGGACGAAAGUCUGACGAAGCAACGCCGCGUGAGCGAUGACGGCCUUCGGGUUGUAAAGCUCUGUUAAUCGGGACGAAAGGCCUUCUUGCGAAUAGUGAGAAGGAUUGACGGUACCGGAAGAGAAAGCCACGGCUAACUACGUG
rnacentral:rRNA from 1 species